rnacentral:lncRNA from 1 species
CAAACAUUCUUAUCAGUUUCUCUGAUAAACACACGUUGUCAACAUUUUCAGCUGGAUACUGUAAGAUUUACUGUUGAAGUUCAUGUGCUAAACUUUGUUGAAUUUGUGUGUAUAUAUGUAUAUGUAUGGCUCGAACUCUUUUGAAAAAGUAACUGCUCAUACUUUGUCUAAAUUUGAAGUUUUAAGAAAGUAUGGGCAAUUGCACAGUACAGGCAAGGGAAGCAGAAAACAAAAGAACUCCAAAGGGGUACUUUGUGGUUUAUGUUGGCGAAGAAGUACAGAGAUUUGUGAUUUCCAUGUCGUAUUUGAAGAAUCCUAAGUUCCAAAAACUGCUUCAAGAGGCUGCAGAGGUUUAUGGAUAUCAUAACCAGAAAUGCAUCGCAUUACCGUGUGACUUGACAACUUUUCGCCGAGUCGUAAACUUCAAAGGAAAGUGAUUCCUAGAUGCUGAUCAACGAUCAAAGUUAAGAAAAUAGAAAAUUUUCAAUUUAAUUUGUAAUUUUUAUUUACUUUGUAAUUUCAAUGGUGAAGGCUUGCAACACAAGUGCAUAAUAACUCGAAAUUUACUCAUCACAUUUCAUACAGUACUUGUUACGAGGGACUUGAGUUUGAAAAAAAG